AGUGAACGCUGGCGGUAGGCCUAACACAUGCAAGUCGAACGGCAGCACAGUAAGAGCUUGCUCUUACGGGUGGCGAGUGGCGGACGGGCGAGGAAUACAUCGGAAUCUACUUUUUCGUGGGGGAUAACGUAGGGAAACUUACGCUAAUACCGCAUACGACCUACGGGUGAAAGCAGGGGAUCUUCGGACCUUGCGCGAUUGAAUGAGCCGAUGUCGGAUUAGCUAGUUGGCGGGGUAAAGGCCCACCAAGGCGACGAUCCGUAGCUGGUCUGAGAGGAUGAUCAGCCACUCUGGAACUGAGACACGGUCCAGACUCCUACGGGAGGCAGCAGUGGGGAAUAUUGGACAAUGGGCGCAAGCCUGAUCCAGCCAUACCGCGUGGGUGAAGAAGGCCUUCGGGUUGUAAAGCCCUUUUGUUGGGAAAGAAAAGCAGCAGGUUAAUACCCCGCUGUUCUGACGGUACCCAAAGAAUAAGCACCGGCUAACUUCGUG
rnacentral:rRNA from 1 species